AGCGGCGGACGGGUGAGUAACGCGUGGGAAUUUUCCUCAAGGUACGGAACAACUCAGGGAAACUUGGGCUAAUACCGUAUGAUGUCUAGCGACCAAAGAUUUAUCGCCUUGGGAUAAGCCCGCGUCAGAUUAGGUAGUUGGUGGGGUAACGGCCUACCAAGCCUGCGAUCUGUAGCUGGUCUGAGAGGACGAUCAGCCACACUGGGACUGAGACACGGCCCAGACUCCUACGGGAGGCAGCAGUGGGGAAUCUUGCGCAAUGGGCGAAAGCCUGACGCAGCCAUGCCGCGUGAAUGAUGAAGGUCUUAGGAUUGUAAAGUUCUUUCGCUCGUGACGAUGAUGACGGUAACGAGAGAAGAAGCCCCGGCUAACUUCGUGCCAGCAGCCGCGGUAAUACGAAGGGGGCUAGCGUUGUUCGGAAUUACUGGGCGUAAAGCGCGCGUAGGCGGUUUUGCAAGCCAGAGGUGAAAUGCCUGAGCUCAACUUAGGAAUUGCCUUUGGGACUGCGAGGCUUGAGGACGGAAGAGGUGAGUGGAAUUCCCAGUGUAGAGGUGAAAUUCGUAGAUAUUGGGAAGAACACCGGUGGCGAAGGCGGCUCACUGGUCCGUUUCUGACGCUGUAGCGCGAAAGCGUGGGGAUCAAACAGGAUUAGAUACCCUGGUAGUCCACGCUGUAAACGAUGAGUGCUAGG
rnacentral:rRNA from 1 species